rnacentral:rRNA from 1 species
GAUGAACGCUGGCGGCGUGCCUAAUACAUGCAAGUCGAGCGAACAGACGAGGAGCUUGCUCCUUCGACGUUAGCGGCGGACGUGUGAGUAACACGUAGGUAACCUACCUAUAAGACUGGGAUAACUUCGGGAAACCGGAGCUAAUACCGGAUAAUAUUUCGAACCGCAUGGUUCGAUAGUGAAAGAUGGCUUUGCUAUCACUUAUAGAUGGACCUGCGCCGUAUUAGCUAGUUGGUAAGGUAACGGCUUACCAAGGCAACGAUACGUAGCCGACCUGAGAGGGUGAUCGGCCACACUGGAACUGAGACACGGUCCAGACUCCUACGGGAGGCAGCAGUAGGGAAUCUUGCGCAAUGGGCGAAAGCCUGACGGAGCAACGCCGCGUGAGUGAUGAAGGUCUUCGGAUCGUAAAACUCUGUUAUUAGGGAAGAACAAACGUGUAAGUAACUGUGCACGUCUUGACGGUACCUAAUCAGAAAGCCACGGCUAACUACGUG